CAAACUGGUACAUUAUUUACUCUGGCAAGGUUUUCAGCAGUAGGGAAGGCUAUUCCAGGAGGCGUUAGUCUGGGCAUGGUCAGCACUGGCUCAGAGUUUGUGUAAAAUGCAGAUUCAGGAGAUUACUGGGCAUAGAAGCAGACUUUAGGAGUUGUAAGGCGCCUCGGAACAUCAGCCUGGUAGACUACUGGAUCUGCUGAGACAUUCUGUUCUCACUGGAAAAGAGGAAUUGGCUCAUGCUGUGGAAUGACUAACAAAUUGUCCCUGAGGGCUGGCCAGUUAGAUCUCAGAAUGAAGACCCUACUGGGCCUGAAUUGGGGAGGAGGAAUACAGAGCAGGCAGCCAUGCAAGACUUGGUGUGAGAACCAUAUGGAAGGGAAGAAGUAUCCUAGACCCAAGAUGCAAGUUUAUGGAUUGCAAGACAGGAGGCCCAACACUGAAACAGCAUCUAACAAAAGUGCCAUGGAUUUCUGUAGCCUAAAUAUCCUGAAAACUAUGCAACACUUGUCCUUCUCACACUUGACAGCAAGGACUCUUUCUGCUUUUGCUCCAGGCCUGGUGGCCAUGUCACGUCGGGCUCAAGCUUUUUGGCAUUUCAAGCAGAAGUGGAAGAAGAUUAAUGGACAAUUAUUGCUGUCAAGCCCUGCAGGGACAGGUUUCAAGUGGCAGCAAUGUGGUAUAAAUGCAGCAUGUGGAAUACAGGGCCUGAGGGAUGCUCAGCACCCAGCAUUACAGGAUUCUGCCUUUUUCUUGUCUUUGGUUCUGCUUUUUAAACACCGACCUCAGGAGAAGCUUUGCAGGAUGAGGUUAUUAUGGGACUGGACACCUUGAGUCACUUGGGGCACACUUGGGAGAUGCAGACUGCUGAAGAACUGCUGAAGAAACACAUCUUCACUUCAUGGAGAAAUCCAGAGGUGCUUUGCAGGGACAUCAUCUAUACAGAGAAUAAUUUUAAAGUGUUCCCCAUGCAAAGAUGCUGAAGAAAAAAAGGUUAAUAGAAAUGUGAUGAUCUUUGUUUUAAAGGGUUCUAAAAAGUUUCUUUUGAAUAAUGAAUACCAAGGAAAGGGAAGAAGAGUAUUAAGACCUAUAUUGUGUCCUGUAGACAUUUAUGUAGUUGUACACAGAGAAUAAAAAUUUGUCUGCAUAAAAAAAUUAAUCCCUC
rnacentral:lncRNA from 1 species